rnacentral:rRNA from 1 species
UACGUAGGGGGCAAGCGUUGUCCGGAUUUAUUGGGCGUAAAGAGCGUGUAGGCGGCUUUACAGGUCCGUUGUGAAAACUCGAGGCUCAACCUCGAGACGCCGGUGGAAACCGUAAAGCUAGAGUCCGGAAGAGGAGAGUGGAAUUCCUGGUGUAGCGGUGAAAUGCGCAGAUAUCAGGGGGAACACCCGUGGCGAAAGCGGCUCUCUGGGACGGUACUGACGCUGAGACGCGAAAGCGUGGGGAGCAAACAGG